rnacentral:rRNA from 1 species
GACGAACGCUGGCGGCGUGCUUAACACAUGCAAGUCGAACGAUGAAGUUCCUUCGGGAAUGGAUUAGUGGCGAACGGGUGAGGAACACGUGAGAAACCUGCCUUUCAUUUUGGGAUAACUCCGGGAAACCGGGGUUAAAACCGAAUACUCCGUCUCGGCGGCAUCGCUGAGCCGGGAAAAAAUUUUGAUGAAAGAUGGUCUCGCGGCCUAUCAGCUAGUUGGGGCGGUAAUGGAUCACCAAGGCAACGACGGGUAGCCGGCCUGAGAGGGCGACCGGCCACACUGGGACUGAGACACGGCCCAGACUCCUACGGGAGGCAGCAGUGGGGAAUAUUGGGCAAUGGGCGCAAGCCUGACCCAGCGACGCCGCGUGAGGGAUGAAGGCCUUCGGGUUGUAAACCUCUUUCAGUAGGGAAGAAGCGAAAGUGACGGUACCUAAAGAAGAAGCACCGGCUAACUAUGUGCCAGCCGCCGCAGUAA